ACGUAGGGGGCGAGCGUUGUCCGGAAUCACUGGGCGUAAAGGGUCCGUAGGCGGCCGGGUAAGUCUUGCGUGAAAGCCCCAGGCUCAACUUGGGGAGUGCGGGAGAUACUGCCGGGCUUGAGCACCGGAGAGGCAAGCGGAACGUUGCAAGUAGCGGUGAAAUGCAUUGAUAUGCAACGGAACACCAAUGGCGAAGGCAGCUUGCUGGACGGUCGCUGACGCUGAGGGACGAAAGCCAGGGGAGCGAACGG
rnacentral:rRNA from 1 species